rnacentral:rRNA from 1 species
AUUGAACGCUGGCGGCAGGCCUAACACAUGCAAGUCGAACGGAGUGGCGGACGGGUGAGUAAUGCCUAGGAAUCUGCCUGGUAGUGGGGGAUAACGUCUGGAAACGGGCGCUAAUACCGCAUACUAUCAGAUGAGCCUAGGUCGGAUUAGUUAGUAGGUGGGGUAAAGGCCUACCAAGGCGACGAUCCGUAACUGGUCUGAGAGGAUGAUAAGUGAACGUGGAACUAGGACCGGGUCCAGACUCCUACGGGAGGCAGCAGGGGGGAAUAUGGGACAAUGGGCGAAAGCCUGAUCCAGCCAUGCCGGGUGUGUGAAGAAGGUCUUCGGAUUUUAAAGCACUUUAAGUUGGGAGGCGUUACCAACAGAAUAAGCACCGGCUAACUUCGUGCCAGCAGCGCGGUAAUUC